UACGUAGGGUGCAAGCGUUGUCCGGAAUUAUUGGGCGUAAAGAGCUCGUAGGCGGUUUGUCGCGUCUGCUGUGAAAACCCGAGGCUCAACCUCGGGCCUGCAGUGGGUACGGGCAGACUAGAGUGCGGUAGGGGAGAAUGGAAUUCCUGGUGUAGCGGUGAAAUGCGCAGAUAUCAGGAGGAACACCGAUGGCGAAGGCAGUUCUCUGGGCCGUUACUGACGCUGAGGAGCGAAAGCGUGGGGAGCGAACAGGAUUAGAUACCCUGGUAGUCAAGGGCG
rnacentral:rRNA from 1 species